GAUGAAGAACGUAGCGAAACGCGAUAGUUAAUGUGAAUUGCAGAAUUCAGUGAAUCAUCGAAUCUUUGAACGCACAUUGCGCCCCUUGGUAUCCCGAGGGGCAUGCCUGUUCGAGCGUCAUUUCACCACUCAAGCCUGGCUUGGUGUUGGGCGACGUCCCCUUUGGGGACGCGCCUCGAAACGCUCGGCGGCGUGGCACCGGCUUUAAGCGUAGCAGAAUCUUUCGCUUUGGAAGUCGGGGCCCCGUCUGCCGGAAGACCUACUCGCAAGGUUGACCUCGGAUCAGGCAGGGAUACCCGCUGAACUUAAGCAUAUCAAUAAGCGGAGGA
rnacentral:misc_RNA from 1 species